UACGUAGGUGGCAAGCGUUGUCCGGAAUUAUUGGGCGUAAAGCGCGCGCAGGCGGUCCUUUAAGUCUGAUGUGAAAGCCCACGGCUCAACCGUGGAGGGUCAUUGGAAACUGGGGGACUUGAGUGCAGGAGAGAAGAGUGGAAUUCCACGUGUAGCGGUGAAAUGCGUAGAGAUGUGGAGGAACACCGGUGGCGAAGGCGGCAUCCUGGACCGACACUGACACUGAGGAGCGAAAGCCAGGGGAGCAAACGGG
rnacentral:rRNA from 1 species